rnacentral:rRNA from 1 species
AGUGAACGCUGGCGGUAGGCCUAACACAUGCAAGUCGAACGGCAGCACAGAGGAGCUUGCUCCUUGGGUGGCGAGUGGCGGACGGGUGGGGAAUACAUCGGAAUCUACUUUUUCGUGGGGGAUUACGUAGGGAAACUUACGCUAAUACCGCAUACGACCUACGGGUGAAAGCAGGGGACCUUCGGGCCUUGCGCGAUUGACUGAGCCGAUGUCGGAUUAGCUAGUUGGCGGGGUAAAGGCCCACCAAGGCGACGAACCGUAGCUGGUCUGAGAGGAUGAUCAGCCACACUGGAACUGAGACACGGUCCAGACUCCUACGGGAGGCAGCAGUGGGGAAUAUUGGACAAUGGGCGCAAGCCUGAUCCAGCCAUACCGCGUGGGUGAAGAAGGCCUUCGGGUUGUAAAGCCCUUUUGUUGGGAAAGAAAUCCAGCCGGCUAAUACCUGGUUGGGAUGACGGUACCCAAAGAAUAAGCACCGGCUAACUUCGUGCCAGCCGCCGCCGUAA